rfam:Salmo salar isolate Sally breed double haploid chromosome ssa26, whole genome shotgun sequence.
UGUAGCUCAGUUGGUAGAGCAUGGUGCUUGUAACACCACGGGAGUGGGAUCGAUUCCCAGGACCA